AUUUUAAUUGGCUGGACAAUAUAGUGAUAUAUUAGUUAAUAGCAGUGCUUAUUCACACUGCAGGUUCCUGGAAUUAUCAGCAUUCUUAAUUUAAGCAGCUCUGGGUUCCCUCUUCAUAACACAUUCAAUAGCAAUGAAAUGUCUGAAAAGCAAGAUCUAUUGCACAUAUUGUCACUCUUCACAGAUGGCACAUACCUGCGUUUGACUUGAGCCCUAGAAUAACAAUUUUAUAAUUUACUACCUCAAACAACAUUCUACUGAUCAAUCCGUACCUCCUUCCAAAUUAUGAGAUUGAUUGCUUGAAGCCGGUUUAUUCCUCCAGCUCUUAACUGGCUUAGCUUUACGUCUGUAUCUGUCUAGCUAUUCUCAAAAAUCGGAGAUACUUGUUGGUCUAUAUAGUGUGUGCCGGGUCUCUCACUGGUAGUAGCCACCUUGCAUUGUUUGUAAAAAUAUAUAUAUAUAAUCCAUUAAUUGGAAGUCCGCCCCAAUGCUCUACACCAGGGAUGAACAAACAGUAGAUUCCCUGAUGUUGUAGAACUACGAUUCCCAUGAUGCUUUUUGAAUGCUUUAGGAUGACAAAGCAUCAUUGAAGCUGUAGUUUUAAAAUAUCUGGGGAUCUACCUUUUGGGCAAUCCUGCUCUACAUUGAGUCUACAAUGUGCGUACACCUACAGUAUUUAUUUAACAUAAUUCUUACACUAUUUAUGUCUUGCUUGUGUGGACGCAGUAUCUAAAUAUUGGAUUAGUGGGGUGUUUUCUUUUAAUUUAUAUCCUGUAUUUUCUCUUUUUAAUUUCUACCAAAAUCUGUGUUCAUCUUCCCAUAAGCAGACACAGCCUUGCUACACCUUGUUUUUCAUACAGGACAUUACUUCAAUCCCUGUAGUAGCCAGACAAGGGAUUUAAACAAAACCUAAGCAGAUUAUUGUUAACCUGCUAAAGCUCUAGAUUUAGUAAUUUGCAUAAUUUUAGAUUUGCUGGUGUGUGUUGGAGCAAAUCUGGCCAAGUUAAAUGCCUCUCAGGAAAAUAUUUCUAAUUUUAUUCAUAUAUAUGUAAUUAUAUUUAAAAGGACACUCUAAGCCUCAUAAACACUUCAGUUUAUUGCACUGGUUAUGAUGUAAGGAUUAUUGGCGUGUGUCCCUGAUUUUUGUCAAACGGUUUUACAGCAGUUUGUAAAAAAAAAAAAAAAAACAAACAGGACUUUCCAGCGACCAAAGCCUGGCCACUCAACUGCUGUCAAAGGUUUCCUGAAAAUAACAAAACAAACAAACCAUGCUCUAUUCACAGUAUCAAACAAGUGCAAUUAAGGGAACAGAAUAGGAUAACCAUAAUGUAUUUGUUCAGAAUUAUAUGGCAAUGACAGGCUGCAGUCUCUGGGUCUUUGUUUAUCCUUAAAUUAUCAAUUGUGUCCAAUUAUGUACAGAUAACGAAGAAGUGAUCUUACCGGCAGCAGAGAGCCCAGAGCAUUUGGUGCUUUUUAUGUCCAAACACUACAAAAACAAGGACCUAUAAUCAAACACACAUUGCACCAUCAUCACUACAAUAAGAUAUAGUGGUUAUGCUGCUUAGACUGUCCUAGUAAUUUAUAUUGACAGAAAAUUUUGUAAGAUGUUGCCCCUUUUUUGUAGGGGUUGAAUUAUUUAUCUCAAUUAAAUUUUAAUAUUGAUUUGGUUAACAUGCCCUAUUUUAUCGAUCCAGAAUAGCAGAACUAAGGCCGAUUAAACGGCAGGUUUAAUGAAGAUUAGUGCAUAUAGCAAACAGCAGAAACGUUUCGACCACCAGAUGAGGUCUUUGUCAAACUAGCUAGCCAGCCAGCCUCGGGGCUGGAUUGGCACCAUGGAUUGGUGUUUCAGAAGAGUUCAGAUUCCUGGCUUUAACACAGUACGCUAUUUUGUCAGGGUACAUUAAGGGAAUACUAUAGUUUCCAGAAUACAAAUGUGCCCUGACACUAUUAUUAUUAUUGUAUUAUUUAUAUAGCGCCAUCUAUAGGUCUAAAUGCACCAUUUAGCUCCCUGGCCUCCCCUUACCCCCGUUUAAAAGGUGAUUUACUCACCUUUUUCCCCAGAGCUGCAUGGGUCUACUCAUCGCUGGGCCCGACUUAGCUCCGCCUCCUUAAAUUUGAUGAUCUUAGCAAAUCCAAUACUUUCCCAUAGGAAAGCAUCGUAGGCUACUGUGCAUGCACAUCAAAACACUGCACUGUGCCAAUCAGCAUCCCCUCAUAGAGAUGCAUUGAAUCAACACAGAGCCACUAGAGGUGCUUCCUGGGUCAAUGCUGCACAUGAAGUUCAGGGUUCAGUGCUGAACACUCCUUUUAUAGAGGAGUGUUCAGCACUGACCCAGGAAGCACCUCUAGUGACUCUAGAGGUGUUCAUAGGCAGCAAUGUAAACACUGCCUUUUCUCAUUAAGUUGUAGUUGUUCUGGUAACUAUAGUGUCCCUUUAAAUAUGCAAGCAAUGAGUUUCUUUUAGUUUGCAAAUUCUAUUGCAAGCCAUGUUCACACAGGCGAUGCUGUUUUAUGGAGCGUAGUAGCCACUGAUAAGGAAUGGAAAUGAGAAACUCCUGCUAAACAGCGCCGCACAAAGCAACAUUCUGCUAACUCAGUCAUGAAUGUAGAUUUUAGAAGAAAAUAGUUGAUUUUGGUAGUGAGAAAUUCCCCUUGUGUUGCUUUCUUCAUGAGAAGAUCAUCUUAAUUUCCUCCUUUCAACGUGUAUUUCUAAUACCAAGUGUCCUGAGCAUUGGAACUGCCUCACCCUAGAGCCCGAGCAAUAAAGUUUUUGCCCUACAUGAGUAUGUUCAUUCUUUGUACAGAAUUCCUCCCACACAGAAGUUUAGUUAGGUGGAAAAGUGGAUAUUCUCAAUCAGAAUGUACUGUGCAAAUACCUGAUGUACUUAAUCCUGCACUCAACCAUGGCAGAGAUUCAACAGUUUGUCAUAGAUAGCUGUCACUCAUUAGAAAAAGUGGGUGUGAGUAGUUUCAUACAAGGAAGAACAUCUACCGAUAAGAAAACUAAAUACCUUUUUACCGGAAGGAAUGUACAAACAUAGGAUAGCUGUUGAGCAGGACUGGUAGAAAUGUAUUCAGUGGAAGAGUUCAGGAAUACACAUGAAACAUUCUGGGUUUUUUUUAAAUUGAAGCAUUUAUUCACUAAACUCACAAUUUGCAGUGAAUUGAACUUCAAAAUGGAGGCUAAAAUAGCAAAGUUGUGACAAUUUUCCAAAUCAGCCGUUUUUUACAUAAAUUUUGCAUGUCAGAUUUUAAUAUGCAUUUCUGGGAUUAGUGAAUAAUCCUGAGAGAAUGUCAAGGUCUAAGUAGCCAUUUGGUAUUUCUACACACACGCAAGCAAUAUAUAAUAAUAUAUUUAUCAAACGACUAAGUCCUUAUUGUUAAUUUAAGCUAUGUGAAGGGUGGGGAGCCAUGGGUUAGAUUUCAAAUCCUCUAUUCCUAAAAUUAGUCCAUUUGUCCUGUGGAGGAACAGUAUGAAUGCAGAGUGUGACAAUAAGACUGUUACCUGUUUCAAAGAGCUUGCAUUCAUCCUGUCUUUCUUUUCAGUGGUCAUUGCGGACCGCGGCACGUUUCGUUUCCCAGAGCUGACAAGCUGGCACAUUGCUCUGCAGGGUGAAGUAGUUAACACGUGCCUGUAUAUCCUUCCUUGUUCUCAGCUUGUCACAGGUGCCAACCUCGUGCCCAGGAAUGUGUUCUGUAUAGCAGACAGAGCAGGAAAUAGGAACCAAUCUGUGUGGUGAGCAAGUUUUGCAUAGAGCCCAGCACAGAGCAUUGUCUUCCAGAGUGCACAUAGACAUGGGCAGCCAUCUAACCGUAUUCCCUAGUCAACAAGGGGUUAACCCCCCUUUGAAAAGCACAUGCU
rnacentral:lncRNA from 1 species